rnacentral:rRNA from 1 species
CGGCAACAGCUCAAAUUUGAAAUCUGGCACCCGCCCGAGUUGUAAUUUGCAGAGGAGGCUUUGGAGUCGCCCCGGUCUAAGUUCCUUGGAACAGAAUGUCAGAGAGGGUGAGAAUCCCGUCUUGGACCGGCGUAGGGCCCGUGUAAAACUCCUUCGAC